UGAAAGACUGCUUCUUGUAUGAUCACUAAAGUUAAGCAAUGUUGAGCCUGGUCAGUACCUAGAUGGGUGACUACUUGGGAAUAUCAGGUGCUGUAA